GGGGGUGUAGCUCAGUUGGUAGAGCGUCUGCCUUGCACGUAGAAGGUUCGCUGGUUCGAUCCCAGUCGCCUCCACCA
rnacentral:tRNA from 1 species